GGACCUGCAGCUACACUGGCCAUUUGCAGGAAGGAUUGAUUAUUGCUGAUGGACUCAACAGUUGGUGUUUCUACCGAAUUCCAGUGUAGUUUCAAAAAUUCCGCAUCAACUGACUCAUGCAUGGCCCAAACAUCUCUGUAAUACAUUAAAUUUAACAUAUUACUAAAAGAAAAAUAAUCAUAUUAACAAAUUGGUAGGCUUUAACACUUAAUAACUGAUUAAUACAAAAGGAAUACAAAAAUGUAUCCUUCUUUAUUGAUUUCCUCCUCCAUUCUUGCUGUUGUCAUAAGGUUACAAAAGGAAGAAGGUUUGCAAUCUCAGAAUAUGCUCAAUAGGUUUUGAAGAGGAGAAUCACCAUUUUAAUGGAGUAAUUAAUGUUACAAAUUGAAUAUUCAAUUAAACAUGUUUAACUGCAAUCAUGAUUCAGUAUGAAAUGGUUUCCCUUGGCUCACAUUAUUAGAUUUGAUAAAUGUUUGCAAUCACUUUAGCAUCACCAUCUUGAAAACUUUUUUUUCUAAUGAGCCAGUUGUCAGUUUUUAAAGAUGCAGAGUAUGAUAUUGAUUACUCACUUUGCGUUAAUGUAUUAAAAAAUGAUCAAUUAGCCACCAUCAGCAAGGAAUUUAAAUUCCCCUUAAUUCAUGUUAAAUAUAUCAAAUCAGAAACUAAAACGGUUUUAGAAACUGCUGACUGAGGAUGUGUUUAAUAUACACUAGACAAAGUUGGAAGGGACCUCUCUGCACCUUUGUCUGAGCUUUAAAGAUAAAACACAAAAACACAUAAUAUAGUCACUGUUUAGUUUUAUGGCUACAAGAUAUGUAGCUUGUGUAACACCAUCACUAAUUAGUUAAUACAUUUUGGUCCAUGCACUGUUAGGAACAGUGCAAUAAGCUCCUUUAAAUCAGGUGAUAAAAUGGUGGGUCUUAAUGAAAAUUGUCUAAUAGAAACACUCAUUAGGCCUAUCCUUAACAACUACAUUACUCAGACAAAAGCACAGAGACACUGUCACAGAGGUUUAAAGGUGAUGAAAAAGACAUUGUUCAAUCAAAACAUCCAUUUGUCUGGCAUGGUGGCUUCAUAAAUAAUAAACUGGAAUGGAAUGGGGCUCCAUAAUCAUUUUAAUACAAAUGGACUGAGCAUUCAAUUCCAUGCUCCUAUAAGAAGCAGAUACUAUAAAGUACUAGCAAAAAUGUGUACACCUGCCAUCUUACCUUUUGUGAGAUGUACUUAUGGUAUUCACUUCUUAUAGGAACUAGAUGCUCAGUCCAUUUGUACUAAAAUACAGUACAGAUAUCAAAUAGUAACCAAAAAUCCUGUAGUGCAGUGGUUCUCAAAGUGGGGUGUGUGAAGCGUAGUCAGGGGGUCAGUGAUUUAUUUAUUUAAAUUUAGUUACAGUGAUGAAAAACACAAGGCACAAUUAUCAAAUGUGCACGAUAUGGCUAAAAGUUUGUGGACACCUGACCAUCUCACCCAUAUGUGCUUUUUAAACAUCUCAUUCCAGAUGUAGUUCCCCUUUGCUGUUAUAAUAACCUCCACUCUUCUGGGAGGGUUUUCCACAAGAUUUUGUAGGAGGUCUGGGAUGAAAUCAGUCAGUGCGUUUACAUGCAGUGCGUUUACAUGGACAACAAUAAUCCACUCUCAACCCGAUUAAGACCAUACUUUGAUUAAGAAACUACCAUGUAAACAGCAAUUUUUAAUUACCUUAAUCUAAUUAAGGUCAUACUCGAAGUAAGCAAUAAUCGAAU
ensembl:lncRNA